AGAAAAGUUUAUGCAUUGUAAGGUGUAUGUUGUCCGUUUCUAAACAAUUUUUCAAAAUGCCUCUCCUCCAACAGUUUUGGUCCAAUUUCAAUAAGACUUGGUACUGUAGACUAUAAUUUUUCCAUGGUUACUAAAAAUAGAAAUUCCUGAGAAAUUCUUUUAAAAUGCUACUCCUUGUACAGUUUUGAUCUAAUUUCAAUAAGACUUAGUACACAAGUAGACUACACUCAGAAAAGUAAGAAACAUUUAUCAUUUUUUGAUUUUGAUAAAUGAUGUUGCCAUGGUUACUAAAAAUAGAAAUUUUUGAAAUUCUUUCAAAAUGCUACUCUUUCAUCAGUUUUGGUCCGAUAUCAAUAAGACAUGGUACACAAUACACACCAAUAGAGCUACGGUCUUGUCAGAGACUUGUGGUUCAGUUAAGUUUGAGUGAAAAAAAAAAAUCUGCCUUCCUGUUUUAUGGUAGCAUAUUGCUUUAACAUUAUUGGCUUUUACUAAGAAGGAAGUGGUGUUUUAGCUUUUAAAUCAUGUGUAAUUACCAAAACAAUUAUUGCUUACUGUUACUGUAUUGAGAAAAAAAAUCAUGUGCAUAAUUAUUUGUGGUUGUACAUAUGGAAUAAUGUAUUGUUGUGUAGACUUUAUUUGCUUUUUCUUUCUUUUCUUUUUUUUUUUUUUGGUGUAGGAGUUUCAUUAAUUAUCGUGAUUAUGUGUCUAAAAGUGUUUAUUUACCAUGUAAUGAAACUAAGUUUUGCAUAUGAAUACUACAUAACUCUUACACUGUCAAGAGUGUGUUUUACACAUUUACCUGUAUAUAUCAGAGCAAUCAGCAAUAAUUGUAAGGAAUACCAAAGACCCAAUAUUUAAAAUGAAAUUUCCACCACUUGUAAUGUUUCACACAAUUUUGAAUUUACUCUCAAGUGUUAUUGUGAUCAAAAUUUUGCUUGGAGGAAUCUAUAUUCAUAAGGUGCUUGUUUGAUUAUUCCAUAUUGAUUUGUCUGGUGUUAUCAAAUGCAGAAUAAAUAUCAAUUUAA